CACGUAGGGGGCGAGCGUUGUCCGGAUUUAUUGGGCGUAAAGAGCUCGUAGGCGGCUCAGUAAGUCAGGUGUGAAAACUCCAGGCUCAACCUGGAGACGCCACCUGAUACUGCUGUGGCUAGAGUCCGGUAGGGGAGCAUGGAAUUCCUGGUGUAGCGGUGAAAUGCGCAGAUAUCAGGAGGAACACCAGUGGCGAAGGCGGUGCUCUGGGCCGGAACUGACGCUGAGGAGCGAAAGCGUGGGGAGCAAA
rnacentral:rRNA from 1 species